ACACACACGCGUGCGUGCGUUUCUUCAAAGUUCGGAAUGAGUGGCAUCGGGAAAACAGCUUUGACUCCGCGCUCAAAAGGUCUUGAGAUAUCGUGCCUACCGGUGGUCGUGUCGCGUAGCUCUCUUUGAACCAUGGCAUCUAGAACUUGCACUGGCAAGGGCAGACCCACGAAACUGUGAAGCGAGUCGGAGUAUCUGAUGGUCAGUUGAAGUCCAACAGAAAACCGCAGUGGUCAACUUCUCCCAUGCGUGCACUCAUGUCCUAACGAGGUUUGGGGUAUGGCAGAUGCAAUUUCUUUGUUGCAUCACAUUUCAUAGAUGUCACAGUUUUUUUCUCGGAAUUUGCGCAUCGAUGAACUUGGCCAAUAUGGGGUAAAUUGGAAUGGAAAAUUACGGAAUUGCAAAUUGAAACUUGCAUGAAUCAACUGGGAACGGUGAUUUGUAAUAGAAAAAACAUGAAGAACCAUGAAUCUGUAUGUACACAAUACUGGAAUCUUCCUUCUUCGUAUGCAUGUAGUCCGACUACGUACACAUAGAUUCAUUAUCUAUAUAGAUGUGAUCUAAUCUCAUCCAUCAAUUUAACCCUUCUCUUCCACUAAUCACCCAAUCGAUAUUGCUUUAUAUGACCUUCGCGUAAGACAAUAUUUGUGGUCAUGUUGGCAAAAUUGAAUUACUUUGUGUUUUUUAUAUAGAUC
rnacentral:lncRNA from 1 species